GACUCCAUGGCGCAGGUGGUUAACGCGAGGGUCUCAUAAUCCCUAGACCCGAGUUCGAGUCUCGGUGGGGUCA